UUUUGGCUACGGGGCGCAGCAGUCGAGAAUCCUUCACAAUGGGGGAAACCCUGAUGGUGCGACGCCGCGUGGGGGAAUGAAGGUCUUCGGAUUGUAAACCCCUGUCAUGUGGGAGCAAAUUAAAAAGAUAGUACCACAAGAGGAAGAGACGGCUAACUCUGUGCCAGCAGCCGCGGUAAUACAGAGGUCUCAAGCGUUGUUCGGAAUCACUGGGCGUAAAACGUGCGUAGGCUGUUUCGUAAGUCGCGUGUGAAAGGCGCGGGCUCAACCCGCGGACGGCACAUGAUACUGCGAGACUAGAGUAA
rnacentral:rRNA from 1 species